rnacentral:lncRNA from 1 species
UGAAACAUAAUUAGGGACCAAGGCACAAUGUGCGUAAAUCAGAGAGGAUUAAAAAUGCAAAUAAACCAAAUCCCGAAAUGAGGCAUUUAAAUGCAGACUAAAAUAAAAUUGACACAAAAUUCUUGGGCCAAAUUUUAAAAAAAAAUGAACAGGGGGCUAAUCAAACAGCGGCGCAAAAGAGAAAGACUGACCACGCAAAUCACCCAUUUUAGGCGGGAAUGUGCAGACCCUUACCCCUUUAUCCAAACGACGUUGUUUCAUUUAUCACUAAAACUAAAAGAAACAUUUGAAUGACAAUCUGCCAUUUUCUUCAAACAAUUGAAACAAAACCUUAAUCUCCCCUUCCUUUAGCCGAUCAUCAAAGAGCAAGCCUUAGCCGCCAUACAACCACCACAAACGGUGGUCGACAGAGGGUAGAUUACCUCACUUAAACUCGUUUAAAGCCGUGUACGAAGUUCUAGCACUUCCAGUCGCAAGGCAUCAAAAGAAGGGAGUCCUCACCUCUGUUGGAUUUAGGCUUUAACGGAGAAGAAACUUCGACCGUAUCCCAACAGUUCAGGUGAGGCUUUCCCCGUUAUACUUUUCCUUUUUAUUUUCUUCUUUGUAAACGAAAAAAAAAUAAAUAAAAAAGAAACAGAAAAACAGUAAAGGAAAAAAAAACGAAAUGCUAUAUCAAAUUUCGAAAAGAAAAGCCACCUUUCAAUAAACUCUUUUGUAUUAAAUCUCUUUGAUUUUUUGUGCGUGUUCAAAAAAAAGAGGCCGCCUACAUUGAUAUUUCUUGGCUUUUUAUAGCCAUAACAAAAGGGAAAAAUACAAAGUUUCUGCUUGGUUUUUGCUCUUGCUGCUAUGUCCGUCCUUUGCUUGUCUUAUUUUGCAGGUACAGAGGCAACGUGGAAGGGGUAGCUGGCGUGUACGGAGGCUGCUGGUGGCGCAGCAGCUGCUAAGGCUGGUUUGCUGGAAACAUGGUUUAGGUUUUUGGCCUUUUUGGGUCUGAGUUUAUUUUGUAAAUGGACUAAUGCAUUUUGGACUUUUAUUUGAUUUGUGCUCGAGCCGAGCAAAAUAGGCCUGUUACAAUGGUUUUUACCUUAGGUUGCUGAAAAUAAAAGGAAAAGAAAUGAGGGAAAGAUUAGCUUAAACUUGGAUAUCUAGGGAGGGCACUAAAUACUUAACCAUUCAACUCUAAUCAUUUUCUUAUCUAUCUAUUAUAAUUAACCCCUAUAUUUUGGGAUAUGACAGAGUUCGCUUUAUUACUUUUACUAUAAAUUUAUUUAACUUUUAAAUUUUAUUUAUAUAUAUAGAUAUGCACUCAUGUUUUUGUUGUGUUGAUGUUAUUUUUCAAAGGUUUUCACGUAUUAAUUAAUUUUAUAUAUUUUUAUGUAUUCAUAAAUUUGUUAUCAUGUUAAUAUUAUUUGUUUUAAUUAUUUUCAAAUGUUUAUAUCAUACCUCAAUUCAUUCAUAUUUAAUAUAAAUUUUUCAUACCCAUGUUUUUAUAUAUAUAUUUCAUUCUACCCAA